GCCGUCACAACGACAAACUCUUCUGGCAGCUGCUGUGGCAGAGGCCCUGUGAAGAUCACUCCGUGGCUCAUUAACUCCCAGGGCUAUGAACUAGGCCCUGUGAAGAGAGGUGGGACCCUCAACUCCAGAAGUUUCAAGGUUGCUGUCCACAGUGGGUGGUUUCCAUUGUUCCGGGCCUGUGGUGAGGCACACCGUUAUCGCUCAUGGCUGCAGCAGAGCAAAGCUGAUCCCCUCAUGGCACCCUGGAAGCAGAAUUGGAAUGAUGUGGAAUGCAUCUUUGGUUCCUGAACCGUAUCAAGUUUGGUAAUCUGCACAUUGAACUAAGCAUCUUUCUCUGAAAUGAACUGCAUGGCAAAAAACUGGAGGUGGUCCUCUCUCCACACAAAGGAAACAUCUCAGAAGAUGGGGUGGGAAGAUGAAAGAGCCAGGGGAAAGGGAAGUCCUGGGAAAAACAGUAUCUUCUGGACAUAGCGAGGCAGCUGCUUUCAUGAACUCAGAGCAGUUAAUUAACUUUACAUUCCAACUUUCUUCUUCCUCCUCUCCUCCAAGGCAUCUCUCUUUUUCUCCUUCCCAAUCCACUCCUCUUCCCUUCCUUUUCAGGAAAGGGGAGGCCUUCCCUGGAUAUCAAAUGAGCUUGGCAUAUCAAGUUGUGCUCAGACUGGAUGCAUCUUCUCCUGUUGAGGCUAGAAGAGGCAGCCCUGAAUGAGCACUAUUGACAGCUGAUAGUUGUUGUGGGAGAAGUGGUUUUCUUUAAGGGUGUGGCCCCUGGUAGCUUGACCAUGCUCUAGUGGGUGGUCCCACAGCUUUGUGUAUAUAGGCAGCGUAGAGCCAAC